UUGCAAGAGGCACAAUCCGGGUACUAUACAAUAAUGAAAUAAUUCCAUAUCUUCAACAAACGCAGUAUAAUAUUGUUCCGAGACCCUCGACAGUUCGUCUCCCACUUUAUCUGCAGAUAGAAAUUCUUUAUGACUUUUGAAUCCCAACUUGUAAUACCAAACAAUAGCUUCUACUGAAACCUAGAAAGAAAAAUAUAGAAUUAGUUUGAGAACUGAAUAAAUUUCACAUUGUUAUACAGACGUGAAAAUUGUUGACGUUUCAGCAUCAACAAAAAAGUUACUCAGCAUACUUUGAUCAAACCAUAAUAUCCAGCUUUCCACGCUCGCCAUAAUGGCGGAUGCUAUAAAACAAUUUGACAGCAUCUGUGCCCCAGUUAACGCAACGACUUAUUUCACCCAUAGCAACCUGUGAUAAACAAAUUUUUCUCUUGGUUUCUUUUCCAACCAGGCAAAAGAUUCGUUUCCACAUGAAAUAUUAAGUUUUAAAACAAGUAUUUUUUCUAGCCUGGAGCCUGGAUUAAUUAAUAUCAUAUAAAACUCUCGAUAAUGGACACCGAAACGGAAAGGGGACACCGAUUGAAACUCCAGGCUGCUAUUAUAGACUGUGUGACCAACGGCAGCCGGCGGGCUGGGCUUAAAUGGUAACUUUCGGUCCUCGAGUCCCAGGGUCCUUUGGAGGUUUUGUAGAGAAGUUUUAGAACAUACUGGUGGGGCGAUUCCAACGACGGUAAAGGCCAGCGCAAGCACAUACCGAUGAUGGUACCCCAGGUUAACGGGGUCGACGAGGAUCAUGGUCAGUCAAGAAGACCGACGCCGGGGACCAAAACGUGGGCUAGCGAGUACGGCCGCUGAAGGGGUCAGCGAGGGAGGCCGAUAACUGCGAUUACCGUAGAAGGAUGAAGGUAGCGUGGUGACUUGAUAAAGAGGGCGAGAAAUUCUAUCCGGAUCAACAGUCCGUGGCCAGCCAAGAUGAACGGUGCCGGAGCCAAAACGUAGGCCAACGAGGGUAACCGCCGAAGGAGGAUGGCAAUGGGAAGCCGUUAACAGCGAAUGCCGUAGCGAAUGCCAUAACUGUCCAUGUUUUUGUGAUUGAUUAAUCAUGAUUUUUAAUCAAUGAGCCAUUUUUAAUCAUUAAUCAUAACCAAUAAUCACAGAUAAAACCAAAUUUAUUCAUAAUUCAUAAUCUUUAAUCAUCCUCAAAAUCAAAUUAAUCAUUAAUCAUAAUCAAUAAUCACUAAAAUAAAAAUUUUAAUUUUCAAUUAUUAAUCAUGAUUAAAAUUUUUGUUAAUCAUGAUUAAUGAA